AACAUCGGCAAAGCAGAGCAUCCCCGCGUGGCGCUAGCGAGACCGCGUGCGCGGAGGCCGGAGGGGGAGAGGACGAGAGGCGGCGGGCGGCGGAGUAGAUGGCCGGCGGUGGCGCCGCCGCGUCGGCGCUCUCGACCCCAUGGAGGUCGCUGCUGCAGCGAGCGUUGGACGGCAAUGCCCACUUGAAGCACUCCACCUUCUUCCAACUCGCCACGGUGGGUGGCGGCGGCAGGCCGGCGAAUCGCACCGUCGUAUUCAGGGGGUUCCAGGAGCAAUCUGAUAAGAUUCAGAUUAAUACGGAUGCACGAAGCAAUAAGAUUGGUGAGAUCAGGAAUUGCUCCUUUGGUGAGAUAUGUUGGUACUUUACUGACACUUGGGAACAAUUCCGUAUCAGCGGAUUCAUAGAUGUGAUUGAUGGUUCAAACCCCGAACCUGUCAAGCUACAGCUGAGAGAGAGAGCUUGGUUUGGAAGCUCAGUAAAAUCGAGAUUGCAGUACUUGGGACCAUGCCCAGGUCUUCCUAUUCCGGAUGAUGAUCUCAUUAAGGAUGCUCAUCUUGAUCCAUCAGCUGGUCCAGUAGAUGCCUUUUGCCUUCUGGUUCUUGAUCCAGAAAAGGUCGAUUAUUUGAACUUGAAAAGCAAUCAAAGGUUAAUGUUCACAAGAAACCAGAAGGGAGAUGGGACCAACAGUUGGAUGGCCGAAAAAAUUAGCCCAUGACUGUUUGCGGAUUCUAUUGCAGCUCCAAAUUUGUUUGUGGAUUUAUCAUGGUCUACUAGUACCUCUCUUUUCCGAGCAAACUUUAGGGGAACUGUGAUGUGCACUAGGGUUCCCGAUCUUCCAAAAGGUUCUGAUAAACAACGAUUUGGGCGGAGUCACGACACAAAUCGAUCCGGCUUCUUGAACGCGCACGCUCUUGAGCCCCGCAAUCGCAGCACCACGUCUAUCCGAGUUAGUGAUGUCCGCAUCAAACUGCAUAUGUUAUUCGUUAACAGAGGGAGGAAAAAGAGUCAAUACAGUACAAAUAAAUCAGAGAUUAAUGGACAGUGCAAAUAAAUACUACUACUAUAACUCUUGCCUGUACAUAGUCAUUUUUUCUUGUUUCUCUUGAUAUUUUAUGUAUUCCAGUUUCCUUACAGGAAUGUUAAUGCCAUACCAUGGAUGUUGUCCUGGCCUUCUAGGCUUGUUUGUUGUGUCAAUGUCAAGUAAGGUCAUUGUGGUUUUAGGCAUGGCAAACUCUUCUCCCUGCUAUGGGCAUAUGGCCCGGCCCUUUAA